rfam:Schistosoma rodhaini strain Burundi genome assembly, scaffold: SROB_scaffold0019981
ACAUUGCUGAGGAGUCCCACAAUAGGACGAAACGGUUGUCUAGUGCUUCCAAGAU